ACCUAGAAUCCACAAGCAAAAGUGAGACUCGAGUAUAGGGUGCUUGAGGAAGAUGAACUGGGUAGCGGUGUGACAAAAGGAAGAAAAGACCAAGAAGGAGCAGACGCGCCAGUGACGAGUCGCUGCCCGCAAGACAGACCUUCAAGGGGGAUACCUCAGUUUUACUUUCAAGAAACAAUCAAGUUCCAAAUGAUGAAUAAAAUAUAAUGAAGCUUGUAAAUGAUCCAACAAUGAAUGUGUGCAUCACGUGAAAUGAUCUCACCAAGGAGUGGUCAGGGCCAAGGAAAGAGCCAGCAUAGCAUGGAGAAACAUUUGCUUCCAAUCCCUUUUAAUAUGCACUCUGGAAAAUCAAUGCAGCAGAUACCUGACCUUCCUUGUGUUUUUUUGUGCAAGAAAAGACCUGAAAUCACAAGAUCAGUGCCUUGCUCAGCCAUCAUCAGAGAAGUUUCCUCCUCAAGCAGAUGGCAACAAAUACAGAGACCCACAACCAGAUAUUAUGCAGAUGAUAAGAAACCUGGGAACUCUCAGCCCUAACUGGAAUGUCUCUAUCAAGUCCCUCCUCUUAGACCUCAGGCUAUCCCACAAGAGACAGAAAGAGUAGGAGCUAGAGGGGAUGGAGGACACCAAGAAAACAGGGUCCUCUAAAUCAACAUGAUCAAAGCUUAUAUGAACUCACAGAGAUUGAGACAGCAUGUAC